CUCGUAGGGUGCGAGCGUUGUCCGGAAUUAUUGGGCGUAAAGAGCUCGUAGGCGGUGUGUCGCGUCGGCCGUGAAAACCUGCAGCUUAACUGUGGGCUUGCGGUCGAUACGGGCAUCACUGGAGUUCGGCAGGGGAGACUGGAAUUCCUGGUGUAGCGGUGAAAUGCGCAGAUAUCAGGAGGAACACCGGUGGCGAAGGCGGGUCUCUGGGCCGAUACUGACGCUGAGGAGCGAAAGCGUGGGGAGCGAACAGG
rnacentral:rRNA from 1 species